UACGUAGGGUGCAAGCGUUGUCCGGAAUUAUUGGGCGUAAAGAGCUCGUAGGCGGUCUGUCGCGUCGGCUGUGAAAUCCCGGAGCUCAACUCCGGGUCUGCAGUCGAUACGGGCAGACUGGAGUUCGGCAGGGGAGACUGGAAUUCCUGGUGUAGCGGUGAAAUGCGCAGAUAUCAGGAGGAACACCAGCGGCGAAGGCGGUGCUCUGGGCCGGAACUGACGCUGAGGAACGAAAGCGUGGGGAGCGAACAGG
rnacentral:rRNA from 1 species